GCGCAACGACUUGGGCGCUGUCUCGACCAUGGACCCGGUGAAAUUGCACUGGUCGUGAAGAUGCGACUUACCCGCGGAAGGACGGAAAGACCCCGUGAACCUUCACUGCAGCUUGGCAUUGGCCGCUGGUCCCGCGUGUAGAGGAUAGGCAGGAGGCAUCGAUCCGGAGGCGCCAGCCCCCGGGGAGCCGCCCUUGGAAUACUGCCCUCGCGCGACCGGCGUCCUAACCCGAGGCCGUCAACCGGCUCGGGGACCGUGCCAGGCGGGCAGUUUGACUGGGGCGGUCGCCUCCUAAAGGGUAACGGAGGCGCGCGAAGGUCCGCUCGGGACGGUCGGCAACCGUCCUUUUGAAUGCAAGAGUACAAGCGGGCUUGACUGCGAGGCCCACAAGCCGAGCAGGUGCGAAAGCAGGCUCUAGUGAUCCGGCGGCCCCGAGUGGGUGGGCCGUCGCUCAACGGAUAAAAGGUACUCCGGGGAUAACAGGCUGAUCUUGCCCAAGAGUCCACAUCGACGGCAAGGUUUGGCACCUCGAUGUCGGCUCAUCGCAUCCUGGGGCUGGAGCAGGUCCCAAGGGUACGGCUGUUCGCCGUUUAAAGCGGUACGCGAGCUGGGUUCAGAACGUCGUGAGACAGUUCGGUCCCUAUCCUCCGUGGGCGCAGGAGAAUCGAUGGAGGCUGCCCCCAGUACGAGAGGACCGGGGUGGACGCACCUCCGGUGAACCGGUUGUCGACCAACGGCACGGCCGGGUAGCCGCGUGCGGCGCGGAUAACCGCUGAAGGCAUCUAAGCGGGAAGCCGUUCCAGGGAUUAGUUCUCCUUCCGGUAAGGGCCCAGGUAGACUACCUGGUCGAUAGACGGCAGGUGCAAGGGCGGCGACGUCCUCAGCCGAGCCGCACUAAUCGCCCGAGCUCUUCCGGAA
rnacentral:rRNA from 1 species